UACGUAGGGACCAAGCGUUGUUCGGAUUUACUGGGCGUAAAGGGCGCGUAGGCGGCAUGACAAGUCACUUGUGAAAUCUCUGGGCUUAACCCAGAACGGCCAAGUGAUACUGUCGCGCUAGAGUGCGGAAGGGCAAUCAGAAUUCUCGGUGUAGCGGUGAAAUGCGUAGAUAUCGAGAGGAACACCUGAGGUGAAGACGGGUUGCUGGGCCGACACUGACGCUGAGUGCGCGAAAGCCAGGGGAGCAAACGGG
rnacentral:rRNA from 1 species